AAAGAAUUUAGCUUUCAAAGUCUAGUUAAUAGCUUCAACAGUUGAAUACAGCCCUGAUAUUUUAUAUUCUAAUUUUAAAACGCAGUCAUUGAUAUCCCAAUCAUGGCAACAGGUCUUAAAAACGCGCUUUUGUCAUUGACAAUUCCAUAUGUAUCGAAAAACGUGACAAGUUUAGUACUCAGUUAAAAGAAUAAUAAUAAAAAAAAAUUGUUCGAAGAAGGAUGAUAAAAUGUGGUUGUAACAAGCUUGGAACCAUCCCAAUUCCAACAUGCAGAAUAAACAACAUCUGGAUGACAGUUCAUUUUCACUAGUGCUUCUCCAGUUCCAACAUUCCAGAUGACAACGAGAUUAUCGGAACCAGCAAUCCACAACAGGUUCCGUAAGCGUGCGUGAUAUUCCUCCGUCAGGAAUUUGCCAUACUUUAACGACACAAUCCUCAGAACCUGAGGCAAUGACAUUGUCAUUAUGUGGGCACCAUGCAAUAUCUAAGACAGGACCUUUGUGG